CAGAGUUGCAAAACUCCCACAAACCAUCGCGAAUCUUACCCGUACGGUUGCCUCGGCGCUGGCGGUCCGGGAGGCCCUCGGGCCCCCCGGAUCCUCGGGUCUCCCGCUCGCGGAGGCUGCCCGCCGGAGUGCCGAAACCAAACUCUUGAUAUUUUAUGUCUCUCUGAGUAAACUUUUAAAUAAGUCA
rnacentral:misc_RNA from 1 species